rnacentral:rRNA from 1 species
UACGUAGGGUGCGAGCGUUGUCCGGAAUUACUGGGCGUAAAGAGCUCGUAGGUGGUUUGUCGCGUUGUUCGUGAAAACUCACAACUCAAUUGUGGGCGUGCGGGCGAUACGGGCAGACUGGAGUACUGCAGGGGAGACUGGAAUUCCUGGUGUAGCGGUGGAAUGCGCAGAUAUCAGGAGGAACACCGGUGGCGAAGGCGGUUCUCUGGGCAGUAACUGACGCUGAGGAGCGAAAGCGUGGGGAGCGAACAGG